AAAAAAGAAAAGCAGCCAAAACUAUUUACCAAAUACAAUGUGAAUUCAUGACUAGUUCUGGGUGACCUGAAAUUGCGAAUUUUUUGGCAAAUAACAUAUUAGUCUGUGAAGGGGUGUGCAUAUCCCGCAUUGGGCAAGAAAGGAUUAACCCCACACUAUGGGCGGCGGAAGUCCCGCCUCUCAGACCAUGACGGCCAUGUUCCAACUUCUGCCUCAGUAUAAAAGGGAGCAGCCCAACUCAUUCGAGGCUGAUCACUGAGGAGGGAGGACACUUGGUGGAGGCUCCAGGCCAGGAACUGCUACAGCCACUGACUGUGGGAACCAGAGAACCCGAAGACCAGAAUGGAGACCUGCUACCUUCAAUCAACCAUCAGGAGUCAAACUUCCAGGGAGCUAUCCCCCCCAAGGAACCCCCAGGACCCCAACAAUGGACUGCUACCUCAGAGUUCCAACCAAUGCUUUUGGAAAAAGCAGCCUGGAGGAAAUGGAAUAUACCGCAGCUAGAUUUGCCAGCCAAAUGUUUGUCCAGAAGAAAGAAAAACAAAUCCAAGGGACACACAGUAACCAAAGAGAGCACCAGUGAGUAUGAGGACAUUAUAUGGGUGACUGAAUAGUGGUAAACACAGCACAAGAAGACCCUAGGAAGCACCAGAAACUAUUAUAUGCAGCCAUGUUACUUGGGAAGAAAGUGAUAUGAUUUCAAUUAGAUUGUGGCACAAAUUGUAACAUUAUCCCGAACAGUCCAGUGAACCCAGACAGACAGUUGGAAGAGACUAACCUGCUGUUAACAAUGUAGAAGCUUACUGCUUUAAAGCCUAUGGGGGAAAUGUAAAAUGAAAUUAAGAAAUCCAAGGAAUAAACAAAAUACAGACUGGACUUUGUGGUCCUAGAUGGUGAGACAGCAGUCCCACUUCUGGACAGCAAGAUUGCCCAAGUCAUGAACCGGACAGAAGUACAGUUCCAGAACAUAAUGAAAGUGGAUAGCAGAGUGACUGAAGACACAUUGGAUGGAAUUACCUGGAAUAAGGAGAUGAUACAGAGGGAGUAUAGAGAUGUGCUUCAGAGAGAAGACGGCUAGACUGUGUUUAUAAAAUAGAGAUUGACACCGGUGUAAAGCCAGUUAAAUUGGCAAAAAGUACCCAUUGCAUUACUGCAGCAACUGAAAGACAAACCGCAGAGCCUACAGCAUCAUGGAAUGAUGCUGCAUAUUGAGAAGAUCACAGACCGGAGAAGCAGCCUUGCGGUGGUAAGAAAGCCCUCCAGAAAACUGAGAAUAUUUAUAGACUCAAAGCCCUUCAACAAAGCUUUGAAAUGGAACCAUUUCCCUCUGCCUACAAUUGAGGACAUAGUACCAGGUCCAUCUAAAGCGAGACUCAUUACAAUGUGCGAUGUAAAAAAUAGAUUCUGGCGCAUCAAACUGGAUGAAGAAUCCAGUUACCUGACAACCUUUGCAACUCCAUUUGGGAGAUACCAAUGGUUAAGGAUGCCAGUGGGAAUCAGUCUGGCACCAGAACACAUUACCCCAAGUGCUGGAGGGCCUGAUGGGAAUCCGGUCAAUAGCAAACAAGGUGCUGAUAUUGGGAGAGAGGGACGAUCCAGAGCAAGCACAACAAAAUCAUGACCACAGAUCACUACACAUUUUGCAAAGAAAAGAACGUUAAAUUGAACUUGGAGAAGUUCCCAUUGAGAUUAACCAAGGUGCCAUAGAGGCUAUCCCAGGGUACAGUCCUAAUAAACGAGUACCUGUGUCAUCCCUGCCCUGUAACCUGGGGUGCCCUUUACAAUUCUUUGUUUUCAGCACCUGGCCAGCCAAUUACCUAAUAUCGCCACACCUACAAAAGAUAUUGAGCAGUAUGUCAUCCACCUACGGGGUGAAGAUCUAUUUCACAAGGCCUAGGCUUCAUUUUGAUAAGUUGCAAGAUGGCAGGAUAUGUAUUAGUGGUGCAAUGGGCUAGCACUGCCCAUUUCGAACUGCAUCACCUUUUGAAAGCCCUUUGCAGCCAAUAUGGACAAUUCAUUCAUGAUUUGGUCACCUGUACUGAAAGCGCAUGAGCAUGUGGAGAAGCUUCUUACAGUAUCUUGCAACAGGAUAAUCACUCCCAUUGCUGCUCAGCUCAGAUCCACUCCCUAGAGGAGGGCUGAUUGUAGCCUUAAGACAGGGCAAAAUUACAGAUGGUCAUAAAAAGGUUUGGAGUUCUUUUUUAUGUAUAGCAGAGCUUUUCCCUAAUGAUAGCAGUGAUUCAGACAGAAGUUCCCACAUGCAUUCUUCUCAUGUGUAUGAUUAUGAGGCAUGAAGGAAAAAUGCUUUCUAUACACAAAGUGGCAAAGAUCAAGAUAAAGAUUUAGCCAGCUGUAGAUUUUUGUUUAAUUGCUGCUAUUUACAACAUCCCUCUGCAAAGUCUGAAGAGAUAAGCCUACAAUAAACAUGGCUGUGUUUACACAUAGGCUUGAAUAUGCAUAAUUAAUACACGCCCCCCUUCCCCCCCAGGCAUUGCUAAGACAGUGAAGUUUGAUGAUUCACACUCUUCCUGGGAGAAGAGACAAGCUGGAAUACACCCUCCAUCCUGAACUUAUCAAUGGCUAUUCAAGCAACGGCAAUGAACGCAGUUGGAGAAUGAGCAAAAGGCAUCUUUAUUUGUAAUGCAAAAAGUGAAAAUCAAGCAGAAGGUCUGACAAACAUGUAUUUCCACGUUUAUCUUGAUUCAGGGUGAAAACAAAUGGCAAAAUAUCAGAAUUUCCCAAUUUUCAACCGGCUUUAUUAAUGCCAUUUCUUUCUCUCAGCCAAAACCAUGGGCCAAAUUCUGCCCUUAAGAACUUCACUGGGGAAGCAGGGAUGAAACUGAAAACAAAGUUUGGUCCCCUGUUUAAAGAAUCCCUUCCUACAUUCUCGGCAAUGCCCCAAGUUGUUAAAAGUGAAAUUCCUUUUUUAAAAAAAUAUAUUUUCCCCAUUGACACUGUA